ensembl:lncRNA novel transcript
ACUGCCGGGGGCUGGCGGGGCCGGCCAGCUGCUCCGAGUCUGGGGCGCCAAGCCCGCGCCCACCCGGAACUCUAGCUGGCCCGCAAGCACAGUGCGCAGCCCGGGUUCCCGCCUGUGCCUCUCCCUCCACACCUCCCCACAGGCUGAGGGAGCCGGCUCGGGCCUCCGCCAUCCCAGGAAGGGGUUCCCACAGUGCAGCGGCGGGCUGAAGGGCUCCUCAAGCGCGGCCAGAGUGGGCGCUGAGGCCGAGGAGGCACUGAGAGCGAGCAAGGGCUGCGAGGGCUGCCGCACGCUGUCACCUCUCAAGUAGUUAAGAGAUAGUGCAUUCGAAGCAGUGCAGUGGGAAGGGAAGGUAGAGAGAAGUGCUGAAGAAACAUUUUAAUAUGGAGGAUCAGUGCUGAGUCAUCACAUGGAGGACCUUGAAUCCACAGUGUACUUUGGGUGAUAAAGACAAAAUCAUUUAAAAAAAAAUCGCCAAUAUUUGGCAUUGUUUGUUAUGAGAGAAUAAAUUUACUACUUCUGACU